AGAGUUUGAUCAUGGCUCAGGAUGAACGCUGGCGGCGUGCUUAACACAUGCAAGUCGAACGAUGAUGCCAGCUUGCUGGUGGAUUAGUGGCGAACGGGUGAGUAACACGUGAGUAACCUGCCCUUGACUCUGGGAUAAGCCUGGGAAACUGGGUCUAAUACCGGAUAUGACCUUCCAUCGCAUGGUGGUUGGUGGAAAGCUUUUGUGGUUUUGGAUGGACUCGCGGCCUAUCAGCUUGUUGGUGGGGUAAUGGCCUACCAAGGCGACGACGGGUAGCCGGCCUGAGAGGGUGACCGGCCACACUGGGACUGAGACACGGCCCAGACUCCUACGGGAGGCAGCAGUGGGGAAUAUUGCACAAUGGGCGAAAACCUGAUGCAGCGACGCCGCGUGAGGGAUGACGGCCUUCGGGUUGUAAACCUCUUUCAGUAGGGAAGAAGCGUAAGUGACGGUACCUGCAGAAGAAGCGCCGGCUAACUACGUGCCAGCAGCCGCGGUAAUAC
rnacentral:rRNA from 1 species